GGGGGUGUAAUGGAUUCGACGGAAUGCGUAGCAUCGCAGGCUGCAUGCCGAGUUCGAGCGAUGGCACUCGUAAAAAAACAUCAUGCAAAUAUUGUAAUUGACAACAAUUACUCAUACAGCUUAGCUGCGUAAAGCAGCUUAGCCGUUCCCUCAGCUUCUUGCCUGUCAGUGCUGUUGGAACGUCGACUAUGACAGGAUAGCAUGCGCUGUGCCGUCUGCCGGAGCGUGUGUGAAACUUUAGCAGGCUAGUCCGAUGUUAGCCUAGUAACCGGGCAGAGCAUCGGGCGAAACUUAAUACGGUAACUAAGCAUGUAGAUGCUUGAACGAUAUACCAUUUCGGACCGGGGUUCGAUUCCCCGCACCUCCACUA
rnacentral:tmRNA from 1 species